UGUUAUGCACACCUCUCUGGCGGAGGAUGGGCCUACUGCGGCUGCGCGGGGCCAAGACUCAGCAAGGCGGCGCGGAGGGAUACGGCAAGAUUGUCCCUUCCUUGUGCUGAACCGUAAGAGAGUGGGAGUGAGAAAGAAGUGUUUACAUUUCGCAGAAUGUUUUUUGGAAAAGGGGACCUUUUGGGGGCCAGCCCAGCUUUUCCGAGCAAUUGAAAGGAAAGAGGAGGGGGACUUUUUUUUGUCCUGGCGGAGGGACACGGGAAGGGCGCUGUGCUGCGUCACUGUAGUGGGCAGCUGAGGGCGCAACGCAGGCAGAAGGAGGGCGGAAGGCGAGGAGGGAGGAGCGGAGGACGGAGGAAGGUGGGCGGCCGGGAAGAUCUGCCUCCCGGGGCCCCGAGCGGGCCAUGGAGGCCUCGGGGGACGACGGCGGGGCGUCCGAGCUCCCCGAGGGGCCGCUCACCUCCACGCCCAAAGAGUCCCCGCCUACCUCCGAGCCUCCUUCGGAGCCCCCCCAACGGACUGGUUCAUCAACAUCCUUAAGUAGUAGUGAGAGUUCAGGAGAAGAAUGGCUUAUAAAGGUUUGCUGUCCAGGAGCACGGCAUCGAUAUCGUAGAUAUGCUAAACGCAAAAAACGAACGACAUCACAUCAAAAGGCAAGAAUAUCAGACAGUUUAGAUGCAGAUGUUUUAACAAAAGCAAGAGAAUGGAUGCCUAUUACAUCUUACAAGGUGCACCCGGGAGUGCCAAAACAAGAGAGCUUAGAUUUGCAGUGGCUUAUAAGACUUCGUUGUCCAAGGGCCCUAAUGGAAGAGAUGACACCAGAGGCCAAAGAGUCUCUUCCAACAGCCUCUACAUGCCUAAGCAGAUCAACAAGCAAGACAAGAAAUACUCAGCCUGAAAAGUCAAAAAUUUCAGAAAACUGGCAAACUCAGAAACGAUUUUCCAUUGCACAGGCUCUAGUUAAUGAAAGACAGGAUAUUGCUUCUACUCAAUCCCUAUUGGAUAGAGAAAACUGCUUUGUCAGGGAAGUAGACAGGUAUUUGAAGCACAGUGAUUUCUUAGCCUUAAGGAGGAAGGAAAUACUGCACAAGAAAUGGUUUGAGAAUGUUUCAAGACCACUACACCAGAAAAUUCAGGACAAAAUUGACAAGGAGUCAAGUGAAGAAAUAGAGGAAAGAAAACGAAAACAGCUCUCCCUUUACUUAAACUACUGUAAUAAGAAGGGUGUUGUAUCUUUAGACAACUAUAAUACUUCCUUUUAUGACCCUUUCUUCCUGAAGACUCCAGAUGCUUCCAAGGUAGGGUAGCCAGCGUGCUCUUUCUGUUCUGGGUAAAUAUUGUAAUUAAUAAAGCUAGAAUUGUAUUGUUUGCUUAGCUAUAUAGGCAGAGCUUGCAAAGGGAUGAGUUUUUAAAAAAUUAGAUAGCAAAUACACCAUGACCAACAAACUUUUCAUUGCCACCCCAUCAAUGUACAGAAAACCACGCCAAGGAUAGGAUAUCACUCAACAGAUUUGCAGGUUGUGGCCGACUGUGGGGUCACCCUCGAAAGUCUACUUAACCAAAUCUUAUAUGAACAUUAUAUAUUUAUAGUAUAAAGUUUUUCCUUCAUUAGCACUCAAAUAUCUUGAUUGGUUAUAUGCAAAAUGCUUAAUAUUACAAUUAUAAAUCAGGAUCUGUGCAUGCUUUUUGUAGAUACUCAGGUAACAAAAAAAUAACAUCUAAUCAUAAUAGCAGGGGUGGGAAUAUCUAUACACAUAUCUGUAUGUGUAUAUGUGGCAUGGGAGGUUUGGGGAGAAUUCACUAUGAUUUAUAGGAGUUUUAAGUACUGGGAUGUAUAGUUCACCUGCAAUCUAAGAGCACUCUGAACUCCACUAACGGUGGACCUCGAACUAACUUGGCAUACAGACCCAGCAUGCCCAACUUUGCAUACUGGCGAGGUUUGGGGGUGAUUAACCUUGACAUCCAGGAGUUAUAGUUCACCUGUAUUCAGAGAACACUGAACCCAUCUGAUGACUGAUCUGGACCAAACCUGGUACACAAAUUCAACAUGGCCAACUGGGAAUACUGGUGGACUUUGAAGGUCAUUGACCUUUAUCUCUGGGAAUUAUAGUUCACCUGUAUUCCUGAAUCCUGGCAAGUGUUUCAGGAAGAUUGCCCUGGGAAUCUGGGAAUUGUAGCUCACUUUAUCCAGAGAACACUGAACCCAGCUGAUGACGGAUUAGGACAAAACUUGCUACACACACCCAGCACGGCCAACUUUGCAUACUGGCAGGGUUUGGGGUUGAUUGAAUUCGGCAUCCGGGAGUUACAAUUCACCCAUUUUCAGAAAAAACUUUACCCAGAUAACAUCAGAGCUGGACCAAACUUGGCACACAGACCCAAUAUGGCCAACGGUGAAUACUGUGGGAGUUUUGGGAGAGCUGACCCAAGAUUUUUUGGUGAAUUGUAGUUCAACUCCCUUAUGCAUUUUCUAAUGGGAGCAUUCAUAAAAAACAAAAGCAAUGACUGAGUUUUUUUCUAAGAAAUAUGAGCAAACGGAUAUUAACCAACACCCAAAAACAAACAAGGCCCUUUUCAAAUAAUCCUGGCUAGUCCUUAUAUAAAUGAAGCUUUUUCACCUAUAUGUCGGGGGGGGGGGGUCCCAGCUCUUUCCCUGUCAUAUUUGUUCUAACCAGUUUCUACUGGGUUUGGGAAAGCAGCUGGCUCCUUAUCACUAAGAGUAUAUUUCUUCUCUGUACCUCUUUGUUUUAAACUGGAAUGCCAAGGGGCUCUCCUGGUUCUGGCCUUGGCUGGUCUACAAUAGAGCAUUAACACAGAAAUAUGCUCCUCUAUGUGUGUAUGGUAUUUUCAGCCUAGUUCUGGCAGCAUCAUAUUCCCAUGCCAAUACUUCUUCCCCCAAAAACAGUAUAAUAGAAGACAUGUAGGAAGCUUUUCAGACCUUACACCAGUGGUCUCAACCUAUGGGUUGAGAUUCCCAGAAAUCCUAACAGCUGGUAAACUGUCCUACUGG
rnacentral:lncRNA from 11 species